UGGGGAAUUGUUCGCAAUGGGCGCAAGCCUGACGACGCAACGCCGCGUGGAGGAUGAAGAUUUUCGGAUCGUAAACUCCUGUCGAACGGAACGAACGGCCCGGCCGUGAACAGCGGCCGGGAGUGACGGUACCGUGAGAGGAAGCCCCGGCUAACUCCGUGCCAGCAGCCGCGGUAAUACGGGGGGGGCAAGCGUUGUUCGGAAUUACUGGGCGUAAAGGGCUCGUAGGUGGCCGCUUUAGUCCGACGUGAAAUCCCUCGGCUCAACCGGGGAACUGCGUCGGAUACUGGGCGGCUUGAAUCCGGGAGAGGGACGUGGAAUUCCAGGUGUAGCGGUGAAAUGCGUAGAUAUCUGGAGGAACACCGGUGGCGAAGGCGGCGUCCUGGACCGGCAUUGACAC
rnacentral:rRNA from 1 species